rnacentral:sRNA from 1 species
UGACCACUGUUUCACAGUUUCCGCUUUUUGGGCGGUGGAGCAGGCAAGGCCAUGCGGACAGCCGGGUCAAAUGCCGA